AAAACCAAAGGACACACAGACUUCAUUAGAAAGACAAUCAUAGGUAAAAUACCCACAGAACUACAGUAGAAGAACAUUUAGAGGCCACCACGGAGACGGAGGACAAGGUGAAGGGUAGACUCCUUCUGGAUGUUGUAGUCGGCAAGAGUCCUUCCAUCCUCCAGCUGCUUUCCAGCAAAGAUCAACCUUUGCUGGUCCGGAGGGAUACCCUCCUUAUCCUGAAUCUUGGCUUUGACGUUGUCGAUUGUAUCUGAACUUUCCACCUCCAAAGUGAUGGUUUUUCCAGUAAGAGUCUUCACAAAUAUCUGCAUGCCUCCCCUCAACCUCAAGACCAAGUGUAGAGUUGACUCCUUCUGAAUAUUAUAGUCUGCCAAUGUUCGGCCGUCCUCAAGCUGCUUACCAGCGAAGAUCAGCCUCUGCUGGUCCGGCGGGAUACCCUCCUUGUCCUGGAUUUUAGCUUUAACGUUAUCAAUAGUGUCGGAGCUCUCAACUUCAAGGGUAAUUGUCUUCCCAGUAAGGGUUUUGACAAAAAUCUGCAUGCCACCGCGAAGCCUCAACACCAAGUGGAGAGUGGACUCCUUCUGAAUAUUAUAAUCGGCCAAAGUACGGCCAUCCUCGAGCUGUUUACCAGCGAAGAUAAGCCUCUGUUGGUCUGGUGGGAUGCCUUCCUUAUCUUGGAUCUUGGCUUUCACAUUAUCAAUAGUGUCGGAGCUCUCUACCUCAAGUGUAAUAGUUUUCCCGGUAAGGGUCUUGACGAAAAUCUGCAUUCCACCCCUCAGCCUGAGCACCAAGUGGAGAGUGCUUUCCUUCUGGAUGUUGUAAUCGGCAAGAGUGCGGCCAUCCUCAAGCUGUUUGCCAGCGAAGAUUAACCUCUGUUGGUCUGGUGGGAUGCCCUCUUUAUCCUGAAUCUUGGCCUUAACAUUAUCAAUGGUGUCGGAACUCUCCACCUCAAGGGUAAUGGUUUUCCCAGUUAGAGUCUUAACAAAAAUCUGCAUUCCACCCCUCAACCUGAGCACCAAGUGAAGAGUGCUCUCCUUCUGGAUGUUGUAAUCAGCGAGAGUGCGUCCAUCCUCGAGCUGCUUGCCAGCAAAAAUCAACCUUUGCUGGUCCGGGGGAAUGCCCUCC
rnacentral:lncRNA from 1 species